rnacentral:rRNA from 1 species
GCAAGUCGAACGAUAAGGUAGCUUCGGUUACUGGACAGUUGCGGACGGGUGAGUAACACGUGGGAACAUGCCUUUUGGUACGUAACAACCAUUGGAAACGAUGGCUAAUACCGUAUACGCCCUUUGGUGGAAAGAUUUAUCGCCGAAAGAUUGGCCCGCGCUAGAUUAGUUAGUUGGUAAGGUAAUGGCUUACCAAGGCUACGAUCUAUAGCUGGUUUGAGAGGAUGAUC